GACGAACCGUGCGAACGUUGUUCGGAAUCACUGGGCAUAAAGGGCGCGUAGCGGCUUUUCAAGUCAGGGGUGAAAUCCGGCAGCUCAACUGUCGAAGUGCCCUUGAUACUGAUGAGCUCGAGGGAGGUAGGGGUAUGUGGAACUUCCGGUGGAGCGGUGAAAUGCGUUGAUAUCGGAAGGAACGGCCGGUGGCGAGGCGACG
rnacentral:rRNA from 1 species